AUAAGUAAUGUGAAUUGCAGAAUUCAGUGAAUCAUCGAAUCUUUGAACGCACCUUGCACCCCUUGGUAUUCCGAGGGGUACGCCUGUUUGAGUGUCGUGAAAUCCUCA
rnacentral:rRNA from 2 species